rnacentral:rRNA from 1 species
GAUGAACGCUGGCGGCGUGCCUAAUACAUGCAAGUCGAGCGAACGGACGAGAAGCUUGCUUCUCUGAUGUUAGCGGCGGACGGGUGAGUAACACGUGGAUAACCUGCCUAUAAGACUGGGAUAACUUCGGGAAACCGGAGCUAAUGCCGGAUAAUAUUUUGAACCGCAUGGUUCAAAAGUGAAAGACGGUCUUGCUGUCACUUAUAGAUGGAUCCGAGCUGCAUUAGCUAGUUGGUAAGGUAACGGCUUACCAAGGCAACGAUGCAUAGCCGACCUGAGAGGGUGAUCAGCCACACUGGAACUGAGACACGGUCCAGACUCCUACGGGAGGCAGCAGUAGGGAAUCUUCCGCAAUGGGCGAAAGCCUGACGGAGCAACGCCGCGUGAGUGAUGAAGGUCUUCGGAUCGUAAAACUCUGUUAUUAGGGAAGAACAUAUGUGUAAGUAACUGUGCACAUCUUGACGGUACCUAAUCAGAAAGCCACGGCUAACUACGUG